rnacentral:tRNA from 1 species
GUCAGGAUGGCCGAGCGGUCUAAGGCGCUGCAUUCAGGUUGCAGUCUCCCUGGGAGACGUGGGUUCGAGUCCCACUCUUGACA